rnacentral:rRNA from 1 species
UACGGGGGGGGCAAGCGUUGUUCGGAAUUACUGGGCGUAAAGGGCUGGUAGGCGGCCAACUAAGUCGGAUGUGAAAUCCCCAGGCUUAACCUGGGAACUGCAUCCGAUACUGGUCGGCUUGAAUCCGGGAGAGGGAUGCAGAAUUCCAGGUGUAGCGGUGAAAUGCGUAGAUAUCUGGAGGAAUACCGGUGGCGAAGGCGGCAUCCUGGACCGGCAUUGACGCUGAGGCACGAAAGCGUGGGGAGCAAACAGG